GUCUUUGUGGCCUAGUUGGUUAGGGCGUAGGUCUCAUACGUAAAAUACCAACGAUCCCGUUACACGGGAAUCAACCUACGAGCUUAAAAAGUUCUGAUAUCCUAAGAUCACGAGUUCGACUCUCGUCAAGGACA